GGAGGAAGCCCCAGUCGCCAAUCAGAACCUCCCUUCCCCGAAGGACCGCCUCCGAGAGACCUUACUGCGGUUCACCUGGGGCUGAGAGGCGGACCUUCAAGCCCCUGCCGUUGCCCCCGGAGACGGAGCUCCAGGCCGAGGCGCUCGGCGACAGGCUGAAGCGCCUCAACGUGACUGCGCCCCCAUUGGCCCAGAGCUUGUCGGAAGAGCUCAAAUUGAAACUGGAACAGAGGCGAGCCACCAUGGAGUGACCCCGCCUUCACCACGCUUCAGCCAAUCGGAGGAGAGAAAAGGGGCCUGUUCCAGCAUCCGCCCCCAAUCACAAGUGACCUUCCACCAGCUGCGUUUUCCUGGACAACCUGCAGCAUUCUGAGGACUGCCUCGUUGUGUCCGGGGGCAACCCUGUCAGGGAUGGACUGUACCAUUCCAACUGAUUAUGGGGGGGGGGGUUAAUUUGAAAAAUGACUGUGUGUGUGUGGUGGACUGACUUGUUGUCUUCCUGGUCCCCUGGACACCCCCAAAACUCACGCUAACCGGACGGCUGCCGGGCGGCC